GAGAACUGUCGGGAGCUUCUUGAGACCGAGGACCGAAAUCCCGGCUCCAGGCCUCGGGGACUGCGGACUGUGGGGAGGCUGGCCGGAGAGAGAGGGAAGGACGGGGCCUGGCCCCCGGGACUCCCUGUGCCUUGCUUGGAGCUGACGCCGACGGUUUAUUGCAGGGAACUGACAAGAUCACAUUUUGAGAAGAAGUUGGAAAGAAUCCCAAGUGGAUGAACUGAAUAUCUGGAUGAGGACAAGAUCUGUGGGGAGAGACUGUAAGACCUGUAAAGAGUGAGGGAAGGCUGCCAACAGGCUAAAUUGAGCCGUACUACACACUUUUGUGGCAAGGCUGAGACACUUACAACACUCUUAGAUAGAAUGAGUCCAUUUAAGUCCCAGGACGGUGGAAACUAGCUAGUAGAUUGCAGCCAUGUUGUGGAAGCUGCUGCUGAGAUCCCAGUCCUGCAGGCUGUGUUCUUUCAGAAAGAUGCGAUCACCUCCAAAAUACAGACCUUUCUUAGCAUGCUUCACCUAUACAACUGAUAAACAGUCGAGCAAAGAAAAUACAAGAACAGUGGAAAAGCUCUAUAAAUGUUCAGUUGACAUUAGGAAAAUUCGUAGAUUAAAAGGAUGGGUACUUUUAGAGGAUGAAACCUAUGUUGAAGAAAUUGCGAAUAUUUUACAAGAAC
rnacentral:lncRNA from 1 species